UACGUAGGGGGCAAGCGUUGUCCGGAAUUAUUGGGCGUAAAGCGCGUGUAGGCGGUUCGAUAAGUCUGCUGUGAAAUCCCAGGGCUCAACCCUGGGCGUGCAGUGGAUACGGGCAGGCUGGAGGCAGGCAGGGGAGAACGGAAUUCCUGGUGUAGCGGUGAAAUGCGCAGAUAUCAGGAGGAACACCAAUGGCGAAGGCAGCACUCUGGGACGUGACUGACGCUGAGACGCGAAAGCGUGGGGAGCAAACAGG
rnacentral:rRNA from 1 species